GAUGAAGAACGUAGCGAAAUGCGAUACGUAAUGUGAAUUGCAAAUUCAGUGAAUCAUUGAGUCUUUGAACGCACAUUGCGCCCCCUGGUAUUCCGGGGGGCAUGCCUGUCCGAGCGUCAUUGCUGCCCUCAAGCACGGCUUGUGUGUUGGGCCCCGUCCUCCGAUCCCGGGGGACGGGCCCGAAAGGCAGCGGCGGCACCGCGUCCGGUCCUCGAGCGUAUGGGGCUUUGUCACCCGCUCUGUAGGCCCGGCCGGCGCUUGCCGAUCAACCCAAAUUUUUAUCCAGGUUGACCUCGGAUCAGGUAGGGAUACCCGCUGAACUUAAGCAUAUCAAUAAGCGGAGGA
rnacentral:misc_RNA from 1 species